AAGGUUAAGCCUCACGGUUCAUUAGUACCGGUUAGCUCAACGCAUCGCUGCGCUUACACACCCGGCCUAUCAACGUCGUCGUCUUCAACGUUCCUUCAGGACCCUUAAAGGGUCAGGGAGAACUCAUCUCGGGGCAAGUUUCGUGCUUAGAUGCUUUCAGCACUUAUCUCUUCCGCAUUUAGCUACCGGGCAGUGCCAUUGGCAUGACAACCCGAACACCAGUGAUGCGUCCACUCCGGUCCUCUCGUACUAGGAGCAGCCCCCCUCAGUUCUCCAGCGCCCACGGCAGAUAGGGACCGAACUGUCUCACGACGUUCUAAACCCAGCUCGCGUACCACUUUAAAUGGCGAACAGCCAUACCCUUGGGACCUACUUCAGCCCCAGGAUGUGAUGAGCCGACAUCGAGGUGCCAAACACCGCCGUCGAUAUGAACUCUUGGGCGGUAUCAGCCUGUUAUCCCCGGAGUACCUUUUAUCCGUUGAGCGAUGGCCCUUCCAUUCAGAACCACCGGAUCACUAUGACCUGCUUUCGCACCUGCUCGCGCCGUCACGCUCGCAGUCAAGCUGGCUUAUGCCAUUGCACUAACCUCCUGAUGUCCGACCAGGAUUAGCCAACCUUCGUGCUCCUCCGUUACUCUUUAGGAGGAGACCGCCCCAGUCAAACUACCCACCAGACACUGUCCGCAACCCGGAUUACGGGCCCACGUUAGAACAUCAAACAUUAAAGGGUGGUAUUUCAAGGUCGGCUCCAUGCAGACUGGCGUCCACACUUCAAAGCCUCCCACCUAUCCUACACAUCAAGGCUCAAUGUUCAGUGUCAAGCUAUAGUAAAGGUUCACGGGGUCUUUCCGUCUUGCCGCGGGUACACUGCAUCUUCACAGCGAGUUCAAUUUCACUGAGUCUCGGGUGGAGACAGCCUGGCCAUCAUUACGCCAUUCGUGCAGGUCGGAACUUACCCGACAAGGAAUUUCGCUACCUUAGGACCGUUAUAGUUACGGCCGCCGUUUACCGGGGCUUCGAUCAAGAGCUUCGCGUUACCGCUAACCCCAUCAAUUAACCUUCCGGCACCGGGCAGGCGUCACACCGUAUACGUCCACUUUCGUGUUUGCACAGUGCUGUGUUUUUAAUAAACAGUUGCAGCCAGCUGGUAUCUUCGACUGAUUUCAGCUCCACGAGCAAGUCGCUUCACCUACAUAUCAGCGUGCCUUCUCCCGAAGUUACGGCACCAUUUUGCCUAGUUCCUUCACCCGAGUUCUCCCAAGCGCCUUGGUAUUCUCUACCUGACCACCUGUGUCGGUUUGGGGUACGAUUUGAUGUUACCUGAUGCUUAGAGGCUUUUCCUGGAAGCAGGGCAUUUGUCGCUUCAGCACCGUAGUGCCUCGUCAUCACGCCUCAGCCUUGAUUUUCCGGAUUUGCCUGGAAAACCAGCCUACACGCUUAAACCGGGACAACCGUCGCCCGGCCAACAUAGCCUUCUCCGUCCCCCCUUCGCAGUAACACCAAGUACAGGAAUAUUAACCUGUUUCCCAUCGACUACGCCUUUCGGCCUCGCCUUAGGGGUCGACUCACCCUGCCCCGAUUAACGUUGGACAGGAACCCUUGGUCUUCCGGCGAGCGGGCUUUUCACCCGCUUUAUCGUUACUUAUGUCAGCAUUCGCACUUCUGAUACCUCCAGCAACCCUCACAGGCCACCUUCACAGGCUUACAGAACGCUCCCCUACCCAACAACGCAUAAGCGUCGCUGCCGCAGCUUCGGUGCAUGGUUUAGCCCCGUUACAUCUUCCGCGCAGGCCGACUCGACCAGUGAGCUAUUACGCUUUCUUUAAAUGAUGGCUGCUUCUAAGCCAACAUCCUGGCUGUCUGGGCCUUCCCACAUCGUUUCCCACUUAACCAUGACUUUGGGACCUUAGCUGGCGGUCUGGGUUGUUUCCCUCUUCACGACGGACGUUAGCACCCGCCGUGUGUCUCCCGUGAUAACAUUCUCCGGUAUUCGCAGUUUGCAUCGGGUUGGUAAGUCGGGAUGACCCCCUUGCCGAAACAGUGCUCUACCCCCGGAGAUGAAUUCACGAGGCGCUACCUAAAUAGCUUUCGGGGAGAACCAGCUAUCUCCCGGUUUGAUUGGCCUUUCACCCCCAGCCACAAGUCAUCCGCUAAUUUUUCAACAUUAGUCGGUUCGGUCCUCCAGUUAGUGUUACCCAACCUUCAACCUGCCCAUGGCUAGAUCACCGGGUUUCGGGUCUAUACCCUGCAACUUAACGCCCAGUUAAGACUCGGUUUCCCUUCGGCUCCCCUAUUCGGUUAACCUUGCUACAGAAUAUAAGUCGCUGACCCAUUAUACAAAAGGUACGCAGUCACCCCAUUAAGAGGCUCCCACUGCUUGUACGUACACGGUUUCAGGUUCUUUUUCACUCCCCUCGCCGGGGUUCUUUUCGCCUUUCCCUCACGGUACUGGUUCACUAUCGGUCAGUCAGGAGUAUUUAGCCUUGGAGGAUGGUCCCCCCAUAUUCAGACAGGAUACCACGUGUCCCGCCCUACUCAUCGAGCUCACAAUAUGUGCAUUUUUGUGUACGGGGCUGUCACCCUGUAUCGCGCGCCUUUCCAGACGCUUCCACUAACACACACACUGAUUCAGGCUCUGGGCUCCUCCCCGUUCGCUCGCCGCUACUGGGGGAAUCUCGGUUGAUUUCUUUUCCUCGGGGUACUUAGAUGUUUCAGUUCCCCCGGUUCGCCUCAUUAACCUAUGGAUUCAGUUAAUGAUAGUGUGUCGAAACACACUGGGUUUCCCCAUUCGGAAAUCGCCGGUUAUAACGGUUCAUAUCACCUCACCGACGCUUAUCGCAGAUUAGCACGUCCUUCAUCGCCUCUGACUGCCAGGGCAUCCACCGUGUACGCUUAGUCGCUUAA
rnacentral:rRNA from 1 species